GGGAGACACAGGAUCCGAAGCAGGCUCCAGGCUCUGAGCUGUCAGCACAGAGCCUGACACAGGGGCUCGAACUCAUGAACCGUGAGACCAUGACCUGGGCUGAAGUUGGAAGCUUAACUGACUGAGCCACCCAGGCGCCCCCAGAUCCACACUCUUAAUCCCCACCUUGUACUGCCUCAUUUUGUACAAGAUGCACUUGGCUGAUGACACUGAAUGAGCCUAUGUGGCGCUGAAUGGGUCUUGCCAGUGGACCUGCCACUAUGUUGCCUUGUUACUUGCACGCUGUCUUGUCACCCCCUGGGAGACUGUAGGAUCCUUGAGGAUAUUUCCACUUCAGUGUCCCUCACAGGCCUCCAUGCUGUGCCUGGCACCUAGAAGGGGCUCAGUAAAUGUUUGUUGGGCUCAGAACAGGCAGAUGUUACAUGGGGUGAUACUGACUAUAAAGGUGAAGUGGACAUUCAGAGAAGAUGAAGCUCAGCGAGGGACAGAGAGGCUGGAGAAAAGUCUGCGGAAGAGAAAGGAAGUGAGGUCGGCUUUGGAAAUUUGAAAAGAGAGAGGGCUGAGGGAAGGACACUCAGGGUGGGAAACCACACAGGCAAAAUACAGAGGUAGUGAGGAGAGUAGAGUGGUAGAUGCUCAUAAGGAGAUCUGGUCAACCGGAGUGAGCACUUGAACUUGGUACAGUUGGCCAUCAACUGGGCUGGUGGACAGGCUGGAGUUGGAAGAGACCAUGAGCAAGGCAGUGCUUUUAGAAGCCCAGGGGGCCAGUAUGGCCCAAUGGCUAGGUGCUUGGUGUCUUAGGGUCAAAGCCCGAGUUAGCCAUUUUCCCAGGUGUGGGACCUUGUGCCACUCACCAGGCAAAGAUACCUGUCAGGUGCUGCAAGGAUGAAAUGAGACCAUGUGUGCAUACUGCCUAAUGUUGUCUUACAGUAAACGGUGUCAACGGCCAUUAUUUGUCCAAAGCCUUGUGGUGGAGGAUGACCGGAGUGAAGAGAGACUGAGCAAGGGGUCUCUGAAUCAUGGCAGAGAUGGCACCGUAAAAACAAAGCAAUGGUUUCUUCCUGAUGGAGACAAGCCAGUUGAGACCCAAAUAAGACCUGGAGGAAAAUCAUCCCAGAGGUGCCUUGUGCCUAGUAUGAAGGUGACCUUGCUUUCUUAGCCAGAGAAGGGAGUAAAGGUCAGGAAAUCAAGUGGCUGGCUGGAAUAUGAAGGGUAAAGAUGAAGAAAGAAGAAUCUGGGUUCUAAGCUCAUCCUCAGGCACCCACUGUAAACAUCACCUUUACAGUGUCCCUGAGAGGUGGUGGUCCCUCUGGUUCAACACAGGAAACUCACUGCUUCAACUUAAGGUGGCACAUUCAGUCCACUGUUAGACAACUCUGAUGAUUUGAAUCGUUUUCUGUUAAGAUUAAAUUGAUCUCCUUGCCAGACUGAUCUUUUGUUAUUAGUUAUAUCAGUUAUCGAUCACUGCAUAACAAAUUGCUCCAAAAUGUAGCAGCUUAAAGAGAGUCAGCAUUUAUUAUCUCCCAGUGUUUUCGAGGGUCAGGGAUUUAGGAACAGCUUAGCUGGGUAUUUGUGGCUCAGAGUAUUUCAUGAAGUUGAAGUCAAUCCUUCAGGCAGGGCUGCAGUCCUCAGAGUUAACUGGGGG
rnacentral:lncRNA from 1 species